UGCUGUGUGGUGCAGUGGCUAACACUUUUGGUUUUGGCCAGACAGGCCUGGGGUUCGAUUCCACUCAGUGA